GAUGAACGCUGGCGGCGUGCCUAAUACAUGCAAGUCGAGCGAACAGGCGAGGAGCUUGCUCCUCUGACGUUAGCGGCGGACGGGUGAGUAACACGUGGAUAACCUACCUAUAAGACUGGGAUAACUUCGGGAAACCGGAGCUAAUACCGGAUAAUAUAUUGAACUGCAUGGUUCAAUAGUGAAAGACGGUUUUGCUGUCACUUAUAGAUGGAUCCGCGCCGCAUUAGCUAGUUGGUAAGGUAACGGCUUACCAAGGCAACGAUGCGUAGCCGACCUGAGAGGGUGAUCGGCCACACUGGAACUGAGACACGGUCCAGACUCCUACGGGAGGCAGCAGUAGGGAAUCUUCCGCAAUGGGCGAAAGCCUGACGGAGCAACGCCGCGUGAGUGAUGAAGGUCUUCGGAUCGUAAAACUCUGUUAUUAGGGAAGAACAAAUGUGUAAGUAACUAUGCACGUCUUGACGGUACCUAAUCAGAAAGCCACGGCUAACUACGU
rnacentral:rRNA from 1 species